rnacentral:rRNA from 1 species
GAUGAACGCUAGCGGCAGGCCUAACACAUGCAAGUCGAGGGGUAGAGUUUCUUCGGAGACUUGAGACCGGCGCACGGGUGCGUAACGCGUAUGCAAUCUGCCCUUUACUGGGGAAUAGCCCGGAGAAAUUCGGAUUAAUGCCCCAUAUGCCCGUAGAAUCGCCUGAUUCAGCGGGGAAAGUUCCGACGGUAAAGGAUGAGCAUGCGUCCCAUUAGCUAGUUGGUGAGGUAACGGCUCACCAAGGCGACGAUGGGUAGGGGGCCUGAGAGGGUGAUCCCCCACACUGGUACUGAGACACGGACCAGACUCCUACGGGAGGGCAGCAGUGAGGAAUAUU